rnacentral:rRNA from 1 species
GACGAACGCGGCGGCGUGCUUAACACAUGCAAGUCGAACGAAGAGCGAUGGAAGCUUGCUUCUAUCAAUCUUAGUGGCGAACGGGUGAGUAACGCGUAAUCAACCUGCCCUUCAGAGGGGGACAACAGUUGGAAACGACUGCUAAUACCGCAUACGAUCUAAUCUCGGCAUCGAGGAUAGAUGAAAGGUGGCCUCUACAUGUAAGCUAUCACUGAAGGAGGGGAUUGCGUCUGAUUAGCUAGUUGGAGGGGUAACGGCCCACCAAGGCGAUGAUCAGUAGCCGGUCUGAGAGGAUGAACGGCCACAUUGGGACUGAGACACGGCCCAGACUCCUACGGGAGGCAGCAGUGGGGAAUCUUCCGCAAUGGACGAAAGUCUGACGGAGCAACGCCGCGUGAGUGAUGACGGCCUUCGGGUUGUAAAGCUCUGUUAAUCGGGACGAAAGGCCUUCUUGCGAAUAGUUAGAAGGAUUGACGGACCGAAUA